UGGCAGAGAUUGAUCGAGGAA
rnacentral:miRNA from 1 species